CUAACCUGCUAAAUAGUACGGUUGCAAAUUUUAUGUGGACCUCUGUUCAGGUGCCUUCGGUGCCUGGAUAGAACCACAUAAGCAGGUGAAACUUCUUAGAGGAACUGGCGCUCAAAAAGGCGCACGAGAAAGAGCAAUAACAGGUCUGUGAUGCCCUAAGAUGUCCGGGGCCGCACGCGUGCUACAAUGACGAUGCUAUUGAGCAUGAUUAACUUGUCCGAAAGGAUCGGUGAAACUGUUCAAUCAUCGUCGUGACUGGGAUUGGGGUUUGCAAUUGUCCCCCAUGAACCAGGAAUUCCUAGUAAGCACAAGUCAUAAGCUUGUGCUGAUUACGUCCCUGCCCUUUGUACACACCGCCCGUCGCUACUACCGAUUGAAUGGUUUAGCAAGGAGAUUGGAUUGAGCCCUUGCGGUUCUUGCCGCUUGGGCUUGAGAAGAUGUCCGAACUUGAUCAUUUAGAGGAAGUAAAAGUCGUAACAAGGUUUCCGUAGGUGAACCUGCGGAAGGAUCAUUA
rnacentral:rRNA from 1 species